AACGAACGCUGGCGGCAGGCUUAACACAUGCAAGUCGAACGCCCCGCAAGGGGAGUGGCAGACGGGUGAGUAACGCGUGGGAAUCUACCUAGUUCUACGGAACAACUGAGGGAAACUUCAGCUAAUACCGUAUACGCCCUAAGGGGGAAAGAUUUAUCGGAAUUAGAUGAGCCCGCGUUGGAUUGGCUAGUUGGUGGGGUAAUGGCCUACCAAGGCGACGAUCCAUAGCUGGGCUGAGAGGAUGAUCAGCCACACUGGGACUGAGACACGGCCCAGACUCCUACGGGAGGCAGGAGUGGGGAAUAUUGGACAAUGGGCGCAAGCCUGAUCCAGCCAUGCCGCGUGAGUGAUGAAGGCCUUAGGGUUGUAAAGCUCUUUCAGUGGGGAAGAUAAUGACGGUACCCACAGAAGAAGCCCCGGCUAACUUCGUGCCAGCCGCCGCGGUAAAAC
rnacentral:rRNA from 1 species